rnacentral:rRNA from 1 species
AUUGAACGCUGGCGGAAUGCUUUACACAUGCAAGUCGAACGGCAGCACGGGGCAACCUGGUGGCGAGUGGCGAACGGGUGAGUAAUAUAUCGGAACGUGCCCAAUCGUGGGGGAUAACGUAGCGAAAGUUACGCUAAUACCGCAUACGAUCUACGGAUGAAAGCGGGGGAUCGCAAGACCUCGCGCGAAUGGAGCGGCCGAUAUCAGAUUAGGUAGUUGGUGGGGUAAAGGCUCACCAAGCCAACGAUCUGUAGCUGGUCUGAGAGGACGACCAGCCACACUGGAACUGAGACACGGUCCAGACUCCUACGGGAGGCAGCAGUGGGGAAUUUUGGACAAUGGGCGCAAGCCUGAUCCAGCCAUUCCGCGUGCAGGA